GUGGGGUAACGGCCUACCAAGGCUCCGACGGGUAGCUGGUCUGAGAGGACGAUCAGCCACACUGGGACUGAGACACGGCCCAGACUCCUACGGGAGGCAGCAGUGGGGAAUCUUGCGCAAUGGGCGAAAGCCUGACGCAGCAACGCCGCGUGCGGGAUGAAGGCCUUCGGGUUGUAAACCGCUUUCAGCAGGGACGAAAUUGACGGUACCUGCAGAAGAAGCCCCGGCCAACUACGUGCCAGCAGCCGCGGUAAUACGUAGGGGGCGAGCGUUGUCCGGAUUUAUUGGGCGUAAAGAGCUCGUAGGCGGUUGGGUAAGUCGGGUGUGAAAACUCAGGGCUCAACUCUGAGACGCCACUCGAUACUGCCCUGACUCGAGUCCGGUAGGGGAGCGUGGAAUUCCCGGUGUAGCGGUGAAAUGCGCAGAUAUCGGGAGGAACACCAGUGGCGAAGGCGGCGCUCUGGGCCGGAACUGACGCUGAGGAGCGAAAGCGUGGGUAGCAAACAGGAUUAGAUACCCUGGUAGUCCAUGCCGUAAACGUUGGGCACUAGGUGUGGGGGACAUUCCACGUUUUCCGCGCCGUAGCUAACGCGUUAAGUG
rnacentral:rRNA from 1 species